CCUGGAAUCGUCUAGCGGUUAGGACACCAGGUUCUGACACUCUCAUGCGCCGACGUGGGAGGGAUGAUCUCCUGGUAACCUGGGUUCAAACCCCAGUUCCAGGU
rfam:Puccinia sorghi strain RO10H11247 Scaffold_724, whole genome shotgun sequence.